GCUCCCGGGGCGGGGGACUCAGCACACCUGGUCGGUGCAGCGCGCUAUUAAACGCCAUCCACAGGUACUGAAAGGCCGAGGGCUACGCUCUCCAUCUUGCCUCAGGAACACUGUCCAUACCCUUGAGCAAGGGGUUCAGUCUGAGCUCUGGCCUCCAACGUCGGCUGCCAUCCUCACCGUCUUCGCACACUGCUGCCAGCAGGGUGGCUCAGCUAUGCUCCCCACACACAGUCCUCCACACAGCAAGCAUGUCAAACUCAAAGGCUAACACAGGCCAAAUAAACAAGAAAGGACAUUCUAACCUGGCUGGGAGUUGAACGCCCCCAGGACCUGGAAGCCAACCUUUGAAUGCGGUCCAUUCUCAUUCAAGAACUGCCUAUUAACAUGGAAAGAUGAACAACCUUGUUGCCCAAACAAUGCAGUUCCACCCCAACCUGCAUAGCCCCAUGCCUGUAACCCAUACUUCCCCAUGUAAUCCCCCUCCCACCCUAUAUAAGCAGCUGGUUUGUGGUGGGGAACAGAGCAGAUUUCUGUGGUUGACCUGCUGCCGGCAGGAUUGGAAUAAACGCUCAUAUAUAUAUUCAA